UACGAGGGGGGCGAGCGUUGUUCGGAAUUAUUGGGCGUAAAGGGCGCGUAGGCGGUGCGGUAAGUCACCUGUGAAACCUCUAGGCUUAACCUAGAGCCUGCAGGCGAAACUGCCGUGCUGGAGUGUGGGAGAGGUGCGUGGAAUUCCCGGUGUAGCGGAUGAAAUGCGUUGAUAUCGUACAGGAACUCCGGUGGAGCGAAGGCGGCACGCUGGACCUUUUCUGACGCUG
rnacentral:rRNA from 1 species